AGUAUUACUCCCUCCUGUGGCAUGGCCUCCUGAGAGUCUGAGAUCUGGAUCCCCAGGUGCUGACAGAAGCUUGCCUGAGGAUAGAAGUAAGCUGCCAUAGAGUGCUAGCAGAUUCUACAUGUUGUAUGGUUGGAGGUGAAAAGCCCUUGAAGGAAAGCCACAUCCAGAAAAAUCAGACAAGGAAUUUGGAAGAAAAAGAUGAGGACGGUCUGGAGAGCGGAUUAUUGGCAUAAGUGGAAAAGGCAGGUUGAAGAGAUGAGCCUGGAGCAGCGACUUAGAAACCAAAAGCAGUAGAUGGAAGCAGACUUUUUAUUGAACUCCUCAAGCCCGAGUCAAGUUCUGAGAACACCAAGUACAAGUCAAAGGGUGUCCACUUAACCCUCUUUGGUCCACAUGGAAGUAGAGGAGGGCUGGGCAGA
rnacentral:lncRNA from 9 species